rnacentral:rRNA from 1 species
AGCGAACGCUGGCGGCAGGCCUAACACAUGCAAGUCGAACGAACUCUUCGGAGUUAGUGGCGGACGGGUGAGUAACACGUGGGAACGUGCCUUUUGGUUCGGAAUAACUCAGGGAAACUUGUGCUAAUACCGAAUGUGCCCUUCGGGGGAAAGAUUUAUCGCCAUUAGAGCGGCCCGCGUCUGAUUAGCUAGUUGGUGAGGUAACGGCUCACCAAGGCGACGAUCAGUAGCUGGUCUGAGAGCAUGACCAGCCACACUGGGACUGAGACACGGCCCAGACUCCUACGGGAGGCAGCAGUGGGGAAUCUUGCGCAAUGGGCGAAAGCCUGACGCAGCCAUGCCGCGUGAAUGAUGAAGGUCUUAGGAUUGUAAAAUUCUUUCACCGGGGACGAUAAUGACGGUACCCGGAGAAGAAGCCCCGGCUAACUUCGUG